rnacentral:rRNA from 1 species
AUGAACGCUAGCUACAGGCUUAACACAUGCAAGUCGAGGGGCAUCAGGGUGUAGCAAUACACCGCUGGCGACCGGCGCACGGGUGAGUAACACGUAUCCAACCUGCCCUUUACUCGGGGAUAGCCUUUCGAAAGAAAGAUUAAUACCCGAUGGUAUAACAUGACCUCCUGGUUUUGUUAUUAAAGAAUUUCGGUAGAGGAUGGGGAUGCGUUCCAUUAGGCAGUUGGCGGGGUAACGGCCCACCAAACCUUCGAUGGAUAGGGGUUCUGAGAGGAAGGUCCCCCACAUUGGAACUGAGACACGGUCCAAACUCCUACGGGAGGCAGCAGUGAGGAAUAUUGGUCAAUGGGCGAGAGCCUGAACCAGCCAAGUAGCGUGAAGGAUGACCGCCCUAUGGGUUGUAAACUUCUUUUAUAUGGGAAUAAAGGGUGCCACGUGUGGCAUUUUGUAUGUACCAUAUGAAUAAGGAUCGGCUAACUCCGUGCCAGCAGCCGCGGUAAUACGGAGGAUCCGAGCGUUAUCCGGAUUUAUUGGGUUUAAAGGGAGCGUAGGUGGACAUGUAAGUCAGUUGUGAAAGUUUGCGGCUCAACCGUAAAAUUGCAGUUGAUACUGCGUGUCUUGAGUACAGUAGAGGUGGGCGGAAUUCGUUGUGUAGCGGUGAAAUGCUUAGAUAUCACGAAGAACUCCGAUUGCGAAGGCAGCUCACUGGACUGCAACUGACACUGAUGCUCGAAAGUGUGGGUAUCAAACAGGAUUAGAUACCCUGGUAGUCCACACAGUAAACGAUGAAUACUCGCUGUUUGCGAUAUACAGUAAGCGGCCAAGCGAAAGCAUUAAGUAUUCCACCUGGGGAGUACGCCGGCAACGGUGAAACUCAAAGGAAUUGACGGGGGCCCGCACAAGCGGAGGAACAUGUGGUUUAAUUCGAUGAUACGCGAGGAACCUUACCCGGGCUUAAAUUGCAAAUGAAUAUGCCGGAAACGGCAUAGCCGCAAGGCAUUUGUGAAGGUGCUGCAUGGUUGUCGUCAGCUCGUGCCGUGAGGUGUCGGCUUAAGUGCCAUAACGAGCGCAACCCUUAUCUUCAGUUACUAACAGGUUAUGCUGAGGACUCUGGAGAGACUGCCGUCGUAAGAUGUGAGGAAGGUGGGGAUGACGUCAAAUCAGCACGGCCCUUACGUCCGGGGCUACACACGUGUUACAAUGGGGGGUACAGAAGGCCGCUACACAGCGAUGUGAUGCCAAUCCCUAAAGCCCCUCUCAGUUCGGAUCGAAGUCUGCAACCCGACUUCGUGAAGCUGGAUUCGCUAGUAAUCGCGCAUCAGCCACGGCGCGGUGAAUACGUUCCCGGGCCUUGUACACACCGCCCGUCAAGCCAUGGGAGCCGGGGGUACCUGAAGUACGUAACCGCAAGGAGCGUCCUAGGGUAAAACUGGUGACUGGGGCU